rnacentral:sRNA from 1 species
UAAAGGUUGUGUGAGAAGAUAAGAUUGAGACAUUGAACCAAAUCAAAAGCACACUGAAACACUAAACUGGAAACCGGUUACCACUCGUAGCUUUUGGAGGAGUGACUGCGCCGCUGUUAUUAUCUAUUUCCAACCAUACUCUCCAAUACUACAGGCUACCCAGUGUCUGUUUCCGAAUACAAACUCAACCCGACCCACCGGAAGCCAAAUUAAGUGUUGAAAAAGAGAGUGAAAGAGAUGAUAUUGGUGUCGAUCGUGGCGGAAGUGCUGGAGGAGUACACGGCGUUGCUGGCGAGAGUGGUGGAGCAGGUGUUCCGUUCCGCCCCUAUCCCUCGACGGGUUCGUUUUCUCAUCCUCCGCACCCUUCCCUUCGUUUCUUCUCACCCUAGGACCAUUCCACCCCCUCCCACCCAUUCCUAUUAGGAUUCUUCAUUUUCCUUUCACCGUCACUGUUCCAAUUUUGUAAAUUUCAGAUCUUUUCUAUUAACACUGGAAUCCUAUAUUCUGUUUCGUUUAACCUUUCUCAUGUUUCAUACUCCGUCUUUCUUUCUCUGUUAAUUUUUCUAUUAUGUGUAGCUGAACAAAAUAUCUGCAGUUACUAUGAUUGGUAAAAUAAUUCCUUUUUCUUGUCGAGUUAUUAUUGCAAAAAAUUACAACACUUUACACGACUUUAAUGUAAUAAUGAAUGUAUUUUUAAAGUGAACGACGUGAUGCUAGGAUGUUGAGCAGUGUGCAUAACACAAUAUAGAAUUGGUGGUGAUAAUGUUAAAAAAUCGGUUCUCACAACUUCACUGUCAUCUCUCAAGUUAACGAGAAAAGCUUCAUUUUCAAGUCAUUAUCACUGUUUAUCUGUAAUAUCCCAUUGCUUAAACAAGAAAAUAACAGGGAAGAGGAGAUAGAUGCUCACCCGGUAAUGUUCUCGACUCUUCGGAAACUUGAUAUAAAUUAUAUGAAUUUGAAUUCUCAUAUAUCAACUUAUUUCAUUUAUUAUGAUUUUAAUAACUAGGAUCUGGCUUUUAAAAAAAG